rnacentral:rRNA from 1 species
AACGAACGCUGGCGGCAUGCCUAACACAUGCAAGUCGAACGAGACCUUCGGGUCUAGUGGCGCACGGGUGCGUAACGCGUGGGAACCUGCCCUUAGGUUCGGAAUAACUCCCCGAAAGGGGUGCUAAUACCGGAUAAUGUCUUCGGACCAAAGAUUUAUCGCCUUUGGAUGGGCCCGCGUUGGAUUAGCUAGUUGGUAGGGUAAAAGCCUACCAAGGCGACGAUCCAUAGCUGGUCUGAGAGGAUGAUCAGCCACACUGGGACUGAGACACGGCCCAGACUCCCAGGGGGGGCAGAAGGGGGGAAAAUGGGAAAAGGGGCGAAAGCCUGAUCCAGCAAUGCCGGGGGAGUGAUGAAGGCCUUAGGGUUGUAAAGCUCUUUUACCCGGGAUGAUAAGGAAAGUACCGGGAGAAAAAGCCCCGGCUAACCCCGG